AUUUCCCGCCACCAGAGAGAGUAGGGCAGACGGUUUUCAGUCACAAAUAUCUCAAAUUCACCAUAUCCAUCUCUGCUGCCACCUCUUUCCACAAGUCCUGAUUCAUAAUUUCAUAAUCCUUCGACGCAUUUCUCUCCCCUGCUCUUUUUCCUCUAAUUUCAUCACAUCAUUACCCGUUCGGACGUUGUAUAAGCAUAAACCCUAGAUCCAUUUGAUUCCACAGAGAUGGCCGGCCAAUCCGACCCCAACCUAUCACUCUUCUCUGCUGAAGAGGUCGAGUUCAUUGCAGAGGACGAGAUGGUCGAGAUAGUCCCCAAUCUCAGAAUGGAUGCUCUCAAUUUCAUCUGUGGGGAUUUUGGACCAUUUUUUCCACAAAUGGCAACUCAGGUGCCGCUGUGGCUAGCUGUGGCUUUGAAGAAGAGAGGGAAGUGCACCAUUCGACCUCCACUGUGGAUGUCAGUUGAAAAGUUGACGCAGGUUUUGGAAGCAGAACGGGAUUCUCAACGAGUGUUUGAGCAACUACCGUUUCAUUAUGUGGAAAUCUCAAGACUUCUUUUUGAUCAUGCACGUGAUGACAUUCCGGAUGUGUAUAUGGUGAGGUCUCUUGUUGAGGAUAUCAGGGAUGUGAGGUUUCAUAAAGUGGAGACUAAUUUAGAGACACUUAAUGAGCGUGCACUUGCUUUGAAGAUUAACAAUCUAUCUGCAAUGGAAGUAAAUAUAGUUCGCCCAUUUAUUGGGAGAGCUCUACAGGCAUUUUAUAAGCAUGAUAGUCCAGAGCUAAUACCAGAUCAAGAGAGAAUUUCUGAUAGACGGCCACAAGUAGCUAAUAAUGCAGCAAGACGGCAUCUGCGGCGAUAAUGUCAUCUUCUCUUUUCACCUUCCAUCUCAAUCAGAAACAACAAUUUCAACCAGCUAACUUGGAGGGCAGAUAGCAAUGGUUGUUGCGAUGGAACUUGGAAGUGCACAUCCAUCUCAGAGAGAUAGGAUGGCCAUAGAGAAAGAGGGACGAGAAAAAUGUGGAGGGCUCUUUUUGUCAAUGUCUCUAUUUUCGUCGGAAAAAAACAUAGGUAU